UUUAAGUGCAACCAUAAGUUUUUGAGUCCAACUUUAAUUGUCCGUCUUAUUUUAAAUAUAUUUGUGCCUAGUAUUUUAAGCAAGACAAAUGAUUAAAGUUGGACACGAAGAGAGUACGUUGUCGUCAUC
rfam:Oryza glaberrima chromosome 2 Oglab02_0424_6, whole genome shotgun sequence.